GAAAUGAACACCGCUGGACAGAGAAUGUGACAGCUGGAAUAUGGGACUUAAGCAUUUACAGUUGCGUAGGAUCUAAUCAUUUGGAAACGCAUGAAUAAGAUCAUUAAAUUGGGAGAGAGUGGAAAGAGCAUCUGGGGGGAAAUUCAGCUUAGUGAAGAAGAAAAAACACAUUGGAAGAAAGAGGAAACCAGGCUGACAUAUAAUUAGGAGAAACCAAGGAAGUCAUUGAAAACCAAAGUGAAGACAAAUGAUUCCACAGAAGGUGAUGAACGUGGAAGAGACCAGUGCUGUUGAAUGGUGACCUUCAGAUCCUUCCAUCUCAAUGACAAGUGCAAUGAUCUUGUCCUGUUCAGAGGACUUUGUUUAAAGGGUUCCAUGAUUUGUGAGAUUCCAAGAAGUCCAUGUGUGACCAGUGAGCAGAUGGGUCUCUCCAAGUCAAUGCCAAGUCACUAUGAUUCCAAAAAACAGUUGGUGAAGUCCGGCAAGGAACUCACAAGAGUGAUCCAUAGCCAAUUUAGUGUGCGGAACGAGGCUACUGUGCUCCCUCUUGAAGAUCCUCAAUAUGUGUAUCGAAUAUCCUUAAAAGUCCUCCU
rnacentral:lncRNA from 1 species